rnacentral:rRNA from 1 species
AUUGAACGCUGGCGGCAGGCCUAACACAUGUAAGUCGAGCGAGCGGCGGACGGGUGAGUAAUGUCUGGGAAACUGCCUGAUGGAGGGGGAUAACUACUGGAAACGGUAGCUAAUACCGCAUACCAUCAGAUGUGCCCAGAUGGGAUUAGCUGGUAGGUGGGGUAACGGCUCACCUAGGCGACGAUCCCUCGCUGGUCUGAGGGGAUGACCAGCCACACUGGAACUGAGAAAGGGCCCAGACACCUACGGGAGGCAGCAGUGGGGAAUAUUGCACAAGGGUCGCAAGCCUGAUGCAGCCAUGCCGCGUGUGUGAAGAAGGCCUUCGGGUUGUAAAGCACUUUCAGCGGGGAGGCGUUACCCGCAGAAGAAGCACCGGCUAACUCCGUGCCAGCAGCCGCGGUAUAC